ensembl:lncRNA
GUACAUGGAUUUCAUGGGAAUAGAAAAGAAGCCAUGGACUGGGUAAUGAAAGAAAGAUAAGAUGUCCUAUAUAAAACAACUCAAGAGUAGUUCAAUUACUUCAGCAAACCAUCAAGCAAGCUUUGAAGAUUUGAGGAAACACUGCUAAAAUAUAACAAAAAAACCUCAUGUUGCAGUUAAAAUAGCCCUCCUGACAGAGGCUAAAUAGUAUAAGAAAUAAUCAACCGCCUUCACCUGGGAAAAAGUCUGAACCUAGCCAGUUCUCUGAUGGAGACUUGACAAGUAACAUCAAACAUGGCCCAAGAACAAAGCUAACCAACCACGGCCUGAAGCAUCCUUCAACCAAAAGUCACCUUUAGUCAAGCUUUGCCAUCUAAUUUGCAGUGUUUCUGUUUGUACUCUUCAGGCAGAAGAACUAAAACUCUUACAGUGUAAAGCUCUCUUGGUUUCUGCUCAGUAAGAUUACAUUGAGGAUGCUGCAACUAUUUAACACUUUUAGCAACCUUUGGCUGCAGCCAUCCUGGUGUUCUCACUUCAGAAAUGCAGAUCCAAGCCCACUACCUUUUUCCUACUGUUUAUUUGUGUGUGUGUGUGUUUUAAUGUGUCCUGAAUAACACUGCUGUAAGACUCCAAUUUUAAAGUGCAACUUAAUCCCCUUCUGUGCCAGUGUCCUGAAACAGAGCUAAAUUACCUUCAUAGAUUAUUGUUUUUUUAAUUUAGUUGGGUCAAAUAGAUGGCAAUGCUAUAUCUCACUGAGUGAAAGACUGCAAUGACUUGUUUGCUUGAAUCAAAGUAAACAAAGACAGUAGACAGGUCCUUCUCUCAAGAGGAAAAAUCCUUACAAAAAGGAAUGUCACCAGCAAAAAUCAUCAACUCAUGGAGACAAUAAGAAGAGGAAAAAAUGAACCUUAUAAUACAGAAUUUCAACUCCUAAUACCACAUGAACCAACAGCAUUUGGUAAGAAGUUCCACUCUGUGUAUGACCCUCAGUGUCUGCUCUGAGUAGGCUGAAGUUGUGCCAGAGAUCUACUGAUUGGAUCCUGAGUUUUCCCUCUGAAGACUGGCUGCUGAGGAGGACUGUGAUAAGAACUACCAUACAGGAUAAUCCAAUAAGCCAAUGUUAAAAGUAUGCUGACACUCAAAGGCAAGCACCAGUCAUUUUUUAAAAACAGCUUUUCCAGAAAGCAAAACAAAACAAAAACCAGAGCCUUUUCUAAUUUUACUUUAUUUUAUUGAGUUAUGCUUCCUUUAUUAAGACUCAUGAUUUUUGGACUGCCUACUCUUCUCAAUUCUCAAAGGAAGAUUUGUCAGGAGGAAGACAGGGAAGAAAUUAAAGGGAAGGACAGUUUCUCUGUUGUAAAUGAAUUUUCUUUGUUCUUUACUUUUUAUGAUGGUCUUUAUAUUUAUAUUUUAUGUUGAUAAAAUACAGCUGUAAUUAGGAUUAUUCCUCUUCCUGCACUUCCUUCAUUUAUUUGUCCCCAUCUCCGAUUCAUUUUGUUUCUUCCUUCCUUUUAUGUAUCACUAUUUUUGCCUCUGCACUUCAAUCUCCAGUAAUUUAUGUCCCAGUGGAAUUAUAUCAGCUCAUCCUCAGUAGAAGAGUUCUAUGUACCCUUCAACAGUUACAUUAAAGACAAUAAAAUUCUUGGAUUUCAU